rnacentral:rRNA from 1 species
UACAGAGGUCCCGAGCGUUGUUCGGAUUCAUUGGGCGUAAAGGGGGCGUAGGCGGCGGGGUAAGUCUGGUGUGAAAUCUAGGAGCUCAACUCCUAAACUGCACUGGAUACUGCUCUGCUAGAGGACUGGAGAGGAGACUGGAAUUCACGGUGUAGCAGUGAAAUGCGUAGAUAUCGUGAGGAAGACCAGUGGCGAAGGCGGGUCUCUGGACAGUUCCUGACGCUGAGGCGCGAAAGGCCAGGGGAGGCCAAACGG